rnacentral:lncRNA from 1 species
CCAACCCUACCCAAAGAGAAAUCAAAUUUAUCCCUUUCCAUCCUUUUCUAUAUAAAACCUCCACCUCAUAAUUGAUUUUUCAUCACCUCCUCCUCUUUCUUCUUUCCCAUCUCUGGCGGCCAUUGCGUGAUCAUGCCGAGCACCGCCACCUCCCUAAAGCCGUAACCCUUGUUCUCUAAAACCCUAACAUACCUUGUUUUGGAAGAUCUUGAGCGAGAUACCACCGCUUCCUGCCGCCAGUUGCUGUCGCCACAACCGUCGC